rnacentral:rRNA from 1 species
GGCGAGUGAAGCGGGAAGAGCUCAAAUUUGAAAUCUUCAAGGUUCUACCUUGACGAAUUGUAGUUUAAAGAAGUGUUUUCUGCUAGUGGAGUGGCAAAAGUUCUUUGGAAUAGGACAUCAUAGAGGGUGAGAAUCCCGUAUUUGGUCAUUCUUUCUAGCUUUGUGAUACACUUUCAAAGAGUCGGAUUGUUUGGGAAUGCAGUCCAAAAUGGGUGGUAAAUUUCAUCUAAAGCUAAAUAUUGGCGAGAGACCGAUAGCGAACAAGUACCGUGAGGGAAAGAUGAAAAGAACUUUGAAAAGAGAGUUAAACAGUACGUGAAAUUGUCAAAAGGGAAGCGUUUGACACCAGUGUUGUUUUUCCGAAAAUCAAUUAUGAAUGUUUUGUUUUUGAGGAGUUAUGACUUCAUCGGCUUGCUCCUUUCUUUACGGAACUUUCGUAAUGCACUUUUCGGUUAACAAGUCAACAUCAAUUUCUUUUGUUGUAAAAGGGUACGAGGAAGGUGGCUUUCUUUUCGGAGAAAGUGUUUAUAGCCUUGUGCCUCUGCAAUCGGAGAGAUUGAGGUCUGCAGCGUAGAUCCUUCGGGGCUAGAUACACUUGUGCUAAGUUAUAGCUUUUCAUAGACAACUUGUUGACUAUGUUUAGUCUUGUAGCUUACCCGCUUGUGCUAUUUUACCUACGCUUAGGAUGUUGACAAAAUGGUUUUUAACGACCCGUC